GGGAUAUUCACUCAGAACACCAGCAGAAGCAGACUUUGGAUGAGAGCUCAGGAAAAGGGUGGCAGUCACACCACUAAAAGGGUUCACUCAGAACAGCUGCAGAAGACUUUGGACAUGAGUACAGGUAAAGGUGGCAGUCACAACCAUGAAAGGGAUUCACUUUGAUCAGCAGCAGAAGACUUUGGACAUAAGUACAGGCCAAGAUGGCAUAAAGGAAGAUAUUCACUCAAAACAGCAGCAGCAGACUUUGGCCCAGGGUUGGACUGGCCUACUGGGAAACCAGGAAAUUUCCCAGGGGGCUCCUGUAGCUGGGGCUGCUGCCAGGGUAAACCUUGUUUUUUUCCCUAAACGUGUUGAGGAGCUGCGAGUAGCAGCAGCGCAUGGUUUUUCCUCAAAACAAACAGACAUGUAGGUUGCCAAGAUAUCAUGUGAAGUCAUGUCCUGGUGGCUGACACUGUAUGCAGGAG